rnacentral:rRNA from 1 species
UACGGGGGGGGGCAAGCGUUGUUCGGAAUUACUGGGCGUAAAGGGUUCGUAGGUGGCUCGCUAAGUCAGACGUGAAAUCCCUCAGCUUAACUGGGGAACUGCGUCUGAGACUGGCAAGCUUGAGUGCAGGAGAGGAACGCGGAAUUCCAGGUGUAGCGGUGAAAUGCGCAGAUAUCAGGAGGAACACCGGUGGCGAAGGCGGGUCUCUGGGCAACUACUGACGCUGAGGAGCGAAAGCGUGGGGAGCGAACAGG